CAGUGUUGUCAAAUUUCCGCCAUGGCGCCGCCAUGGCGGAUGGCGGUGGCGGUUUUGGGCUAGGACGCCAUAAAAAUGUUAUGGCAUGGCAGUUUUGCCAUGGCGGGUUAUGGCGGCCGCCAUAUCCAUGGCGCCAUGGCGGCCAUGGCGGGAUAUGGCGGAAAUUUGGCCCAUACCCGCUUUACAGGCGGGUCGACCCGUUGACCCGACCCUUUGACCCUUUGACUUAGUUAUAUUAGGUUUAAAAAUUAGGGUUUCAACAUUGUAGUAGCCUCCAAUGUUCAAACUUCAAACUUGAAACUGCUCAGCGGCGCCUCCUCUGAUUCUCGGACCGGCGACCACUGCUCCGGCGACGCACCGGCGACCCACUGCUCCGGCGAGCUCCGGCGAUCUCCGGCGACCUCAGGUUGAUAAUAAUGUCGGCGUCGGGUGAAGCUUCUUCAGCCCUUUGGAUGAUGAUGAAGAUGAUGACUACGUGGAUGUUGAUGAGGAGGACUAGCAUUAUUAUCUAUCUAUCUAUUUCUUAUGUCUUAUGCUUGAAGUUGAAGACUUGAACUUAUUAUUGCAUUUUGUUAUGUUUAAACUUUGAACUUAGGAAUAUGUCAUGUUUAAACUUAGGAUAUCAAGUUUUCUAUGAUUUUUCUUGGA